UACAGAGGGGGCCAGCGUUAUUCGGAAUUAUUGGGCGUAAAGGGCGCGUAGGCGGCCAUGCGUGUCUCCCGUGAAAUCCCUCGGCUCAACCGAGGACGUGCGGAAGAAAACUGCAAGGGCUCGAGUCCGGAAGAGGGGGGGGGCGGAAUUCCCCAGUGUAGCGGUGAAAUGCGUAGAUAUUGGGAGGAACACCAGUGGCGAAGGCGGUCCCCUGGGCCGGAACUGACGCUGAGGCGCGAAAGCGUGGGGAGCGAACAGG
rnacentral:rRNA from 1 species